ACUGAUUUCUAAGCUGUUCGUCAGUCCGUCCAUCCGUCUGUUUAUUUCUCAAAUUGUAUGUCUAAUUGAAAAGGCUAAUCUUAUCAAAAGAUUCCCAGCAAUAAUUUGAUUAUGAAGUUGUAUUCAUUUACCUAAUAAAACAUCUUUCAAUAGCGAUUUUUACUAAAAAUUGGUUUUCUAUACAAAAAUGUUGAUUUUUCACAAAAUUUUUUGUAUUUAUUAAACAAAAUUUUGAUUUUUAAUAAAAUUUGAGUUUUCACUCUUAAUCCUA